ACGAACGCUGGCGGCAUGCCUAACACAUGCCAGUCGAACGAGACCUUUGGGUCUAGUGGCGCACGGGUGCGUAACGCGUGGGAAUCUGCCCUUGGGUUCGGAAUAACAGUGAGAAAUUGCUGCUAAUACCGGAUGAUGUCUUCGGACCAAAGAUUUAUCGCCCAGGGAUGAGCCCGCGUAGGAUUAGCUAGUUGGUGGGGUAAUGGCCUACCAAGGCGACGAUCCUUAGCUGGUCUGAGAGGAUGAUCAGCCACACUGGGACUGAGACACGGCCCAGACUCCUACGGGGGGCAGGAGGGGGGAAAAUUGGAAAAGGGGCGGAAGCCUGAUCCAGCAAUGCCGGGGGAGGGAUGAAGGCCUUAGGGUUGAAAAGCUCUUUUACCAGGGAUGAUAAUGACAGUACCGGGAAAAUAAGCCCCGGCUAACUCCGU
rnacentral:rRNA from 1 species